GGUAAUGUGGCCGAGCGGUCUAAGGCGCUGGAUUUAGGCUCCAGUCUCUUUGGAGGCGUGGGUUCAAAUCCCACCACUGCCA
rnacentral:tRNA from 1 species